AAAAAACUUCGCUCCGAAUCGUUUUUCGUAAGUAAUAAUUUAUCGUCGGGUAUAGAUACAAAUUAAAUUCCCCUCUAUAUCCUACGUUCCCAAAUUAUUGGUUUUGCCAAAUUCAAAAUUUAAAUAACCUAUCGUCGUACGUGUCGAUUCAGUGUAGGUAUAGCUGGUAAUCUAAAUGUCCAAGUUCGAGAGGAGUGUGUCCCCUCAUCCGGCACCCCAUAUCUCCAUGGUAAAAUCUUCAGGUACACGCAUGUUUUCGUCACUCGCGUAAUUUUUUUUUUCGAAAUUCAAUCGCCGCGCAUAUACGCAAGACGAAUGUAGGUAUACUACACGGGCCACGCGAGAAUAUCGGUCAAUAAUCGGAUUAUACAAUAUUUUGCUUUGUGUGGUGCGCAGCAGUUACUCAAACAAUAUCGCCGCCAAUAACAUUGUCGCGAUUUCGGUAAACGAUUUUUCUCCGUACACAUCGUAAUAAUGUAACAUGUUGAUGGCGAUGAUGACGGUGUAUAGUCGCAUGGGCC